GACGAACCACACGAACGUUAUUCGGAAUUACUGGGCUUAAAGGGCGCGUAGGCUGUGCAGCAAGUUAGGUGUGAAAUCCCCCGGCUCAACCGGGGAAUUGCGCUUAAAACUACUGUGCUAGAGGAAGACAGAGGUGAGCGGAACUUCGGGUGGAGCGGUGAAAUGCGUUGAUAUCCGAAGGAACACCGGUGGCGAAAGCGGCUCACUGGGUCUUUUCGGACGCUGAGGAACGAAAGCCAGGGGAGCGAACGGG
rnacentral:rRNA from 1 species